rnacentral:rRNA from 1 species
UACGGGGGGAGCAAGCGUUGUUCGGAUUUAUUGGGCGUAAAGAGCGCGCAGGCGGCUUGGUAAGUCGGAUGUGAAAACCCGAGGCUCAACCUCGGGCGUGCAUCCGAAACUGCUCGGCUAGAGGUAGGUAGGGGAGAUCGGAAUUCCUGGUGUAGCGGUGAAAUGCGCAGAUAUCAGGAGGAACACCGGUGGCGAAGGCGGAUCUCUGGGCCUUACCUGACGCUCAGGCGCGAAAGCUAGGGGAGCGAACUGG